AGAACGAACGCUGGCGGCAUGCCUAACACAUGCAAGUCGAACGAGACCUUCGGGUCUAGUGGCGCACGGGUGCGUAACGCGUGGGAAUCUGCCCUUGGGUUCGGGAUAACAGUUGGAAACGACUGCUAAUACCGGAUGAUGACUUCGGUCCAAAGAUUUAUCGCCCAGGGAUGAGCCCGCGUAGGAUUAGCUUGUUGGUGAGGUAAGAGCUCACCAAGGCGACGAUCCGUAGCUGGUCUGAGAGGACGUAGUCAG
rnacentral:rRNA from 1 species